rnacentral:lncRNA from 1 species
GGGUUUGUCUCAUCCAAUACAAAGGAGGAAUUAACUUAGCAUACUGUUGGAAUUAAAUAAAUAGAAGUGGAACGACAUCAUCAAAAAUUGAUAGAAGAUGAAUAACUCCAAUAGUGCGUGCCGCCUUCCACUCUGUUCAGUCGUUUCUCCAAUCCCAACCAGCUUUUUGUUCAUGUAUAUAUGAUACAAUUCAGCAGCCACAAUGUUUAUCUCCCAACAGAUGCCGAUCUCUUGUAAUUUGUAUAAUGAAAUUCAGCAACCAAAUCCAAAUUGCCUUAUUUAAAUUUGUCUUCCCAAUCCUAGGCAGCCGUCGGCGUGUUUAUGUAUGUGUCUUUAA